UACGUAGGUGGCAAGCGUUGUCCGGAAUUAUUGGGCGUAAAGCGCGCGUAGGCGGUUACUCAAGUCGGAUGUGAAAGCCCUCGGCUUAACUGAGGAAGUGCACCCGAAACUGAGUAGCUAGAGUACUAAAGAGGGUCGCGGAAUUCCCGGUGUAGAGGUGAAAUUCGUAGAUAUCGGGAGGAACACCGGUGGCGAAGGCGGCGACCUGGGUAGAUACUGACGCUGAGGCGCGAAAGCGUGGGGAGCAAACAGG
rnacentral:rRNA from 1 species